CUCUCGGCCACACCUUCUAGAAAAUUCCCCACCAAUCCUUUUUAUUUUAUUUUAUUUUUUUAUUUUUCAAGACAGGAUUUCUCUGUGAAACAGUCCUGGCUGUCCUGGAACUCACUCUGUAGACCAGGCUGGCCUCGAUCUCACAGAGAUUCGCCUGCCUCUGUCUCCCGAGUGCUGGGAUUAAAGGUGUGCACCACCACCGCCUGGCUCCCCACCAAUUCUUAAUGUUCAGACAAUGCUGAUGGACAAAGGAAAGGCGACUGAAGGGCCAACAGGUUGUAAUGGAAGUUGGGACCACAGAUCACAGCUCCCGGCACACUCCUAUUGCCCCAGCGGUUGGUAAUUGCCCUGGAUCUGAAUGCCGCGGGGCUGAGGGACCCUGGAGCUCCCGGCACAUCUCAACUCCUAGCACUAAGACGGCUGAAGCAGAAGUCGGAAGUCGGAGCUCCCUGAGCUAUACAGAGACCCCGAGUCAAACUCAAAAACAACUAAACGACACAGGCAUGUUCUGUCAGUACAAUACUGUCCCUUGAUGACCUCUGAGAUUCUCAAAGAUGCCCCUCAGAUUCCAAUCUACAGAUGUAAAGGCCCUUAUAUAAAAUUAAAUAGUAUUUGCAUAGAUAACUAGUUGUAUUCCCCAAGGACGCUUUUUUGAGACAGGGUACUCAGGUAGCCCAGGCUGACCUCGAAUUUGAUCAGUAUGUAGCUGACUCUGGUCUUGAACUUCCUGCCUUCAUCUCUGCAGUCGAUGCUCUACUACUGAACUAUGUCCCCAUGCCUCCACCUUCCGAGUGGCGGGAUCACAUGUCCCCAAUACCACUAGCCCCUCAGAUAUUUCACAUCUCUAAAACUUUCUAAAUUACUGUUACCCAAUACAAUGUAAAUGCUAU